UGUAUUGCGAAUAACACAUAGA
rnacentral:siRNA from 1 species